GACGUAGGAGGCGAGCGUUGUCCGGAUUCAUUGGGCGUAAAGAGCACGCAGGCGGUUUGGCAAGUCGGAUGUGAAAACCCGAAGCUCAACUUCGGGCCUGCAUCCGAAACUGCCCGACUAGAGGUAGGUAGGGGAGAUCGGAAUUCCUGGUGUAGCGGUGAAAUGCGCAGAUAUAGGAGGAACACCGGUGGCGAAGGCGG
rnacentral:rRNA from 1 species